AAUAAAGUGCCUGAUAAAAGGAUUAUUCUGAUAGAAUAAAAAAUGUAAAUAAAAUUUACCUUUAUUA
rnacentral:tRNA from 2 species